ACGGGAGGCAGCAGUGAGGAAUAUUGGUCAAUGGGCGGAAGCCUGAACCAGCCAAGUCGCGUGAAGGAUGAAGGUAUUAUGUAUUGUAAACUUCUUUAGCUGUGGAGCAAUAAUCUCCAUGUAUGGAGAGAUGAGAGUACACAGAGAAUAAGGAUCGGCUAACUCCGUGCCAGCAGCCGCGGUAAUACGGAGGAUCCGAGCGUUAUCCGGAUUUAUUGGGUUUAAAGGGUGCGCAGGCGGCUUUCUAAGUCAGUGGUCAAAUCGUGGUGCUCAACGCCAUCCCGCCAUUGAUACUGGAGAGCUUGAUUGCGGUCGAGGUUUGCGGAAUUCGUCGUGUAGCGGUGAAAUGCAUAGAUAUGACGAAGAACACCGAUUGCGUAGGCAGCUUACCAGGCCGUUAAUGACGCUCAUGCACGAAAGUGCGGGGAUCGAACAGGAUUAGAUACCCUGGUA
rnacentral:rRNA from 1 species